rnacentral:rRNA from 1 species
AAUUAAGCAUAUCAAUAAGCGGAGGAAAAGAAACUACCAAGGAUUCCCUUAGUAACUGCGAGUGAAGCGGGAAGAGCUCAAAUUUAAAUUCUGACGUGCCUCUGGUUGUCCGAGUUGUAGUCUGGAGAAGUGUUUUCCGUGUUGGACCGUGUAUAAGUCUCUUGGAACAGGGCGUCAUAGAGGGUGAGAAUCCCGUCUUUGACACGGACUACCAAUGCUUUGUGAUGCGCUCUCAAAGAGUCGAGUUGUUUGGGAAUGCAGCUCAAAAUGGGUGGUAAAUUCCAUCUAAAGCUAAAUAUAGGCGAGAGACCGAUAGCGAACAAGUACCGUGAGGGAAAGAUGAAAAGCACUUUGGAAAGAGAGUUAAACAGUACGUGAAAUUGGUGAAAGGGAAACGCUGGAAGUCAGUCAUGUCGUCCAGGUCUCAGCCUUGUUUUUGCUUGGUGCACUUUCUGGUUUGAUGGGCCAACAUCAAUUUUGACCGUUGGAGAAAGGCUUUGGGAAUGUGGCACCUUCGGGUGUGUUAUACCCCUUUGUUGUAUACGACGGUUGGGAUUGAGGACUGCAGCACGCCUUACGGCCGGGGUUCGCCCACCUACGUGCUUAGGAUGUUGGCAUAAUGGCUUU